GACGUGGAAGCCAAGUGGUGCGGCGCUGUCUGCAAAACAGCAUAUCGUGGGUUCGAUUCCCACCUGCGUCUCCU
rnacentral:tRNA from 1 species